GGGCAGGGGGCUGGGCGGGGUGCUGUCCAGUCACUGGUGGAGAUGAAGGUGCCUGGGACCAGCUGGCACCCAGGGUUUUGGAGGAGGGCGUGGAUACUGUCCCGAGGCAGCAGGUGGAGUGAUGGGACCUGGAGAUUGUGGCACCACGAACAUAGGAGAACUGACACGUUAAUGAGAAGAUGAUGAAUGCGUGUUACGUGCCAGGACUGUGCUGGACUGUGAUGAGGCGUCUGGAGCUUGGUGAGGUUGAAGUGUUCCAGGGUCACCUCUACUAAGCAGCAGGACCUGUGUCCAAACGCGGAGUGGACAGGAUCAAUGGGCCUCAGCGGGGUGCGAAUCGGGGUGGAGGUCUCCACCCUUCCUCUCCAGCAGGUCCCAGCCCCAGACCCUUCUUAUCCAAAGACUCCCCACCGCCCCUGCCUGACUUGCCCCAUUCCUAACAGCUGGCCCAUCUCCGGCCUCUUGGAAAGAGCACUGAACGUGGAGUCCAGUAGCUGAGGACUGGACCUGACCUCAGCCCUCCUAGCUGCUUGCUUUCACCUCUCAGAGUGUCAGCAUCCUCAGAAAAGUGCAGAUGACAGUUUUCAUUGUGAGAAUGGAAGACAAGCAGUCAUGGCUGUUUACAUGAAGGAGUCCUGGUGGGCCACCGAAGAUGUGCUGAGAACCUCUGAUCCUGCAAGAGAAGGUCUGAUGAAGGUUCAGUCAUUUGGGGAAAGGAUUGUGCUUUUCCU